rnacentral:rRNA from 1 species
GAUGAACGCUGGCGGCGUGCUUAAUACAUGCAAGUCGAACGGACAGGCCAUGCUUUUGUGGGGUGCUCGAGUGGCGAACGGGUGAGUAACACGUGAGUAACCUCCCCUUAUCUUUCGGAUAACAUCAGGAGACUGGGGCUAAUAUCGGAUAGGAGCUCCUGAUGCAUGGUGGGGGUUGGAAAGAUUCGGCGGUUGGGGAUGGACUCGCGGCUUAUCCGCUUGUUGGUGGGGUAGUGGCUUACCAAGGCUGCGACGGGUAGCCGGCCUUGGCGGGUGACCAGCCACAUGGGGACUGAGAUACGGACCAGAAUCGUACGGGAGGCAGCAGUGGAGAAUAUUGCACAAUAGGCGGAAGCCUGAUGCAGCAGCGCCGCGUGCGUAAUGACGUCCUUCUAGGUAUGAACCGCUUUCGCAUGUGACGAAGCGUGAUUGACGGUAAUGGGUAAAGAAGCACCGGCUAACUACGUG